rnacentral:rRNA from 1 species
AUUGAACGCUGGCGGCAUGCCUUACACAUGCAAGUCGAACGGCAGCGGGCCCUUCGGGGUGCCGGCGAGUGGCGAACGGGUGAGUAAUGCAUCGGAACGUACCCGGGAGAGGGGGAUAACCGGCCGAAAGGCGGGCUAAUACCGCAUGAACUCGGAAGAGCACAGCGGGGGACCUUCGGGCCCCGGGCCUCGGGGCGGCCGGAGGUCCGAUAAGGCUGGUUGUUGGGGUAAAGGCCCACCAAGGCGACGAUCGGUAGCGGGUCUGAGAGGACGAUCCGCCACACUGGGACUGAGACACGGCCCAGACUCCUACGGGAGGCAGCAGUGGGGAAUCUUGGACAAUGGGCGCAAGCCUGAUCCAGCAAUGCCGCGUGGGUGAAGAAGGCCUUCGGGUUGUAAAGCCCUUUCGGCGGGGAAGAAAUCGGUCAGGCGAAUAGUCUGGCCGGAUGACGGUACCCGCAGAAGAAGCACCGGCUAACUACGUG